rnacentral:rRNA from 1 species
AUUGAACGCUGGCGGCAUGCUUUACACAUGCAAGUCGAACGGUAACAGGGUGCUUGCACCGCUGACGAGUGGCGAACGGGUGAGUAAUACAUCGGAAUGUACCCAGUAAUGGGGGAUAACGCUUCGAAAGGAGUGCUAAUACCGCAUACGCCCUGAGGGGGAAAGUGGGGGACCGCAAGGCCUCACGUUAUUGGAGCAGCCGAUGGCUGAUUAGCUAGUUGGUGAGGUAAAGGCUCACCAAGGCGACGAUCAGUAGCGGGUCUUAGAGGACGAUCCGCCACACUGGAACUGAGACACGGUCCAGACUCCUACGGGAGGCAGCAGUGGGGAAUUUUGGACAAUGGGCGCAAGCCUGAUCCAGCAAUGCCGCGUGAGUGAAGAAGGCCUUCGGGUUGUAAAGCUCUUUUGUCAGGGAAGAAACGGGAGUGGCUAAUAUCCAUUCCUAAUGACGGUACCUGAAGAAUAAGCACCGGCUAACUACGUGCCAGCCGCCGCAGUAAUAC